GAUGAACGCUGGCGGCGUGCCUAAUACAUGCAAGUCGAGCGAACAGACGAGGAUUUUGCCUCUCUGCCGUUACCGGCGGACGGGUGAGUAACACGUGGCUAACCGACCUAUAAGACUGAGAUAACUUCGGGAAACCUGAGCCAACACCGGUUAUUAUAUUGAACCUCAUGGUUCUACAGUCAAAGAGCUUUCUGCUGUCCCUAAUACAGGUAACCUGGUCGCAUUAGCUAGUUGGUACGGUAACGGCGUACCAAGGCAACGAUGCGUAGCCGACCUGAGAGGGUGAUCAGUCACACUGGAACUGAGACACGGUCCAGACUCCUACGGGAGGCAGCAGUGGGGAAUCUUCCGCAAUGGGCGAAAGCCUGACGGAGCAACGCCGCGUGAGUGAUGAAGGUCUUCGGAUCGUAAAACUCUGUUAGUAGGGAGGAACAAAUGUGUAAGUAACUAUGCACGUCUUGACGGUACCUAAACAGAAAGCCACGGCUAACUACGUG
rnacentral:rRNA from 1 species